CUUGGCGGCUGGGGGCCGUCAGACCCCGGUUCAAAUCCGGGCGGACCCACCA
rnacentral:tRNA from 1 species